UACAAAGGGUGCAAGCGUUAAUCGGAAUUACUGGGCGUAAAGCGUGCGUAGACGGUUAUGUAAGUCAGAUGUGAAAGCCCCGGGCUUAACCUGGGAAUGGCAUUUGAGACUGCAUAGCUAGGGUGCGGAAGAGGGAAGCGGAAUUUCCGGUGUAGCGGUGAAAUGCGUAGAUAUCGGAAGGAACACCAGUGGCGAAAGCAGCUUCCUGGUCCAGCACCGACGUCAGGCACGAAAGCGUGGGGAGCAAACAGG
rnacentral:rRNA from 1 species